rnacentral:snoRNA from 1 species
UGAUGGCUGUUCCUGUUGCUGCCUGGAGCCCCAGGCAAUGAGAUUUUAGUCCAUCGGAUAGCAAACCUGACUUGUCUUCACUGGGAGCACUGUGGGAUAGGUUGGCUGUCCAGUAGUGCCUCUGAUUUUUGCGAAGUCAAACAACU